AUGAUACAAUUGAUUCAAGAAUACCACCACAAACAAAAAGAUAAAACAGAUGAAUUUUAUACACAAUCAGGGUUGGGGAUAAUCCAUCAUCAUCCUGAACUUCAAAAUGACGACAUCUGGACUACAUCCUCACAAUGGUGUAGUACUGACACUUCAAACAAACUCAGAAAAUGGUUAAAAAAAGAAGCACUACUUACAACCAUCUCACAAGGAUAAUCAUCUGUGGGCAAACAAAAGACUAAAAGACUCAUUCUUGCUGGAAACAUUUGAAGUUCCUUUUUUUUUUUUUUUUUUUUUCUUUUUCUUUCUUCCCUUUUCCUGGCUUUAACUUAUUGAACUUUUUAGUUAAGGCAGCCUGAAGGCACUAAAUUACAGAUGGUGCUCACUCAUUCUAAAAUUGAAACCUUCCUCUUUCAAAAGGUAAUUGUUUCCAGUUGAUACAUGCAACAUGAAUUGGAUAAGUCAAUCAUUUCUUGAAUGAAAAUAGCUCUUAUAUUCUUGCAAAGUCAAACUCUGUCUAAGGAUCUCUUUGUCCUAAGAAAAGAAAUUGCAUGCUAUUUCCUUCCCUUAUGAUCUAACUUUGUGUCAACUCCCUCUAUAGUACCUUUGGCAGAAAAAGUAAAAGUAACAAAUGUUCCUUAUUAUUUAUAGUCCUUGAAUGUAAAAAUAAAAAUUUGAAAAAGGUAGAUUAUAUAUUUGAA
rnacentral:lncRNA from 1 species